rnacentral:ncRNA from 1 species
GCCGCUUCUGCGGGAGAGAGAGUUCUGGCUUGCCAGGCUCCGCCGAAGGCGCAAGCUCCCAUAAUCGCUCAGGCAUGAUGAACCGUAGAAAUUGA